rnacentral:rRNA from 1 species
GCAACAACCUAGCCCAACUACUAAAAAUAGAAAACAACAAACAAAAACAAUCCCACCAAAACCAAUCAAAACAUUUUUCACCAUCCUAGUAUAGGCGAUAAAAAAGAUAGUUAGAGCAAUAGAAAUAGUACCGCAAGGGAAAGAUGAAAACCAAUGAAACACUCACUAAGCCUUAAAAAGCAAAGAUUAAUCCUUAUACCUUUUGCAUCAUGAUUUAGCCAGCACAUUCAAGCAAAGAGCCCUAAAGUCUGAAUCCCCGAAACCAAGUGAGCUACUUAAAGGCAGCCAUACCUAGGGCUAAAUCCGUCUCUGUGGCAAAAGAGUGGAAAGACCUUUAAGUAGUGGUGAAAAGCCUAACGAACUUGGUGAUAGCUGGUUGUUCAAUAAAGGAAUAUAAGUUCAACCUUAAACCUCCUAAUAACAAUCCAAAGUAAAAAGAAAGGUUUAAGAUUUAUUCAAUUGGGGUACAGCCCAAUUGAAAAAGGAUACAACCUAAUAAUGGAGGACAAAACACCAAUAACACAAUUAACCGUAGGCCUUAAAGCAGCCACCACCAAAGAGAGCGUCAAAGCUCACUCCAACAUUAAAUAAUAACAUAAAAAUUUUUCCCCAAAAAACAUUGAACCACUCUACUUAAAUAGAAGAACUAAUGCUAAAAUGAGUAACAAGAAGACAAAACUUCUCUAAUGCACUAGCUUAAGUUAUAACAGACAAACUACUAACUAUUAACAACCAACACUAUAAAACAAUAACAUUUAAAACACCCUAUAAAUCCAACUGUUAACCCAACACAGGAGCGCACACAAGAAAGAUUAAAACUUGUAAAAGGAACUAGGCAAAUAAACGAACCCGACUGUUUACCAAAAACAUAGCCCCUAGCAAUACACAAGUAUUAGGGGUAAUGCCUGCCCAGUGACACUGUUAAACGGCCGCGGUAUCCUAACCGUGCAAAGGUAGCGUAAUCACUUGUCUUUUAAAUAAAGACUAGAAUGAAUGGCCAAACGAGGUUCUACCUGUCUCUUACGAGUAAUCAGUGAAAUUGAUCUUCCUGUGCAAAAGCAGGAAUAACAUUAUAAGACGAGAAGACCCUGUGGAACUUCAAAUACAAAUCAACUACCAUUAACACCUACACCUACGGGACCAACAUCAAACUAACAUCUGAUUUAUAUUUUUCGGUUGGGGCGACCUCGGAGUAAAACAAAACCUCCAAAAACAGAACUCUACCUAAACCUAGACCUACAAUCCAAAGUGCUUUCAGUAAAACGAUCCAAUAUAUUUGAUCAGCGAACCAAGCUACCCCAGGGAUAACAGCGCAAUCCCAUCCUAGAGUCCCCAUCGACGAUGGGGUUUACGACCUCGAUGUUGGAUCAGGACAUCCUGAUGGUGCAGCCGCUAUCAAGGGUUCGUUUGUUCAACGAUUAAUAGUCCUACGUGAUCUGAGUUCAGACCGGAGUAAUCCAGGUCGGUUUCUAUCUAUAAAUUUCAAGCCUUUUCUAGUACGAAAGGACCGAAAAGACAAGGCCUAUACUAAAACUUAAGCCUUAACUUAUAUUAGUGAAAACAACUUAACUAAUAAUAAGACAAAAAACCACAGCCCUAGAAAAGGGCUAA